rnacentral:rRNA from 1 species
CAGCCGCCGCGGUAAAACGUAGGUGGCAAGCGUUGUCCGGAAUUAUUGGGCGUAAAGGGCUCGCAGGCGGUUUCUUAAGUCUGAUGUGAAAGCCCCCGGCUCAACCGGGGAGGGUCAUUGGAAACUGGGAAACUUGAGUGCAGAAGAGGAGAGUGGAAUUCCACGUGUAGCGGUGAAAUGCGUAGAGAUGUGGAGGAACACCAGUGGCGAAGGCGACUCUCUGGUCUGUAACUGACGCUGAGGAGCGAAAGCGUGGGGAGCGAACAGGAUUAGAUACCCCUGUAGUCCCUGUCUCUUAUAC